UACGAAGGUCCCAAGCGUUAUCCGGAUUUAUUGGGUUUAAAGGGUGCGUAGGCGGGCUAUUAAGUCAGUGGUGAAAGCCUCAAGCUUAACUUGAGAAUUGCCAUUGAUACUGAUGACCUUGAGUACAUUUGAAGUGGGCGGAAUGUGUCAUGUAGCGGUGAAAUGCUUAGAUAUGACACAGAACACCGAUUGCGUAGGCAGCUCACUAAACUGUAACUGACGCUGAGGCACGAAAGCGUGGGGAGCAAACGGG
rnacentral:rRNA from 1 species